UCCCCGUUAUCCUGGGCAGUCCUUCCAGAGUUCCCGGCAUGACCCGUUGGCAACUGGAAGCAGGGGUUGCGCUCGUUGCGGGAUUUAACCCAGGUAAGGUUCUGCGCGUUGCGUCGAAUUGAACCACAUGCUCCACCGCUUGUGCGGGCCCCCGUCAAUUCCUUUGAGUUUUAGCCUUGCGGCCGUACUCCCCAGGCGGGAUGCUUAACGCGUUAGCUACGUUGCCGCAGGGGUCAAUACCCGCGACGACUAGCAUCCAUCGUUUACGGCGUGGACUAC
rnacentral:misc_RNA from 1 species